GACGAACGCUGGCGGCGUGCUUAACACAUGCAAGUCGAACGGAAAGGCCCUGCUUUUGUGGGGUGCUCGAGUGGCGAACGGGUGAGUAACACGUGAGUAACCUGCCCUUGACUUUGUGAUAACUUCAGGAAACUGGGGCUAAUACCGGAUAGGAGCUCCUGCUGCAUGGUGGGGUUUGGAACGUUUCGGCGGUUGGGGAUGGACUCGCGGCUUAUCAGCUUGUUGGUGGGGUAGUGGCUUACCAAGGCUUUGACGGGUAGCCGGCCUGAGAGGGUGACCGGCCACAUUGGGACUGAGAUACGGCCCAGACUCCUACGGGAGGCAGCAGUGGGGAAUAUUGCACAAUGGGCGGAAGCCUGAUGCAGCAACGCCGCGUGCGGGAUGACGGCCUUCGGGUUGUAAACCGCUUUCGCCUGUGACGAAGCGUGAGUGACGGUAAUGGGUAAAGAAGCACCGGCUAACUACGUG
rnacentral:rRNA from 1 species